UGCUGUGCUGCAGCUUAGGUCAGGUUCAUUUUUUUCCAUGAUCUCAGGAGGUAAAUGAAAAGCUAAAGGCAAAUAAAUCCUAGACAGGAGUGGUGUAUGGUGUGGCGGGCUCCCGGGCCCCACCCUCACCCAGCAGAGGGCCCUGGUGGUCUCUGGGAAGAUGAACAGGGGUGAGUCAUCCACAUUGAGGAGGCAGUAACAAAGGCUAGCUCCCCAGGAAUCCCACUUUAUUCCCUAGACAGCACUAGGAAAAGAGAGGUUCAGAUUGUGGGUAGGAGGGGCUGGGGGAGAGGCAGGUGGAUUCUCCCCUGGGCAGGGGUCUCAGGGUCCACUCUGGACUAGCCUCUUCUGACCCGCCUUCUCUAGAUAAGCAGAGGGUCCUGAAGAGGACGAUAGGAAUGACAACCCCAAGAUGACCAUAGUGUGCUUCUCUGGAGGAAGACAGAGCUUGAAGAAGGCUGUGUGCAAGGCCAGAAGUGGACAAGGGGCUGUCCUUGAGUCAGGGCUUGCUGGAACAAGAAGAGCAAAUAGAUUGUUUUGGAAGGUUGUGCAGUACCCGCCCACGGCCUGCACGAAGUACCCAGUACCCAUGAGUCUUCUGCCAGGAUCUUGGCUGUCGGCACUUUCCACAUCCCUGAGAAACAGAGCUGCAGCCGAUGAGACCCUGACACCAAGCACAACCCGGAGACCCCCACACUCUGUUUGUCUCUGUCUCUCCCUCCCUCUGGGUCUUAACCGACCACCGGCUCUCAUCGCUCCCUGCACAGUCACAGAAACCGAAGGUCUCUAGCUGCCUGACGGACGCCAAUAUUCAGACGCCACAGGGACACCGAUGGUGAGCGUGUGUGUCAACACGCCUGAGACAGACGUUUGUCUUCCUGGUGGCUCCGACGGAAGUUCUCAGGCAGCAGCUUUGGAAACACUGCCCCCGAUCCCUGCCUCCUCUCUUGAGUUCCUGGGUAAAGCACACCGAGUUUCCCUUCCACCUCAGGGAUCUCGCUGCUUUUUUGUGCUUCAUUCCAGGGCGUCUUCCGAGCCAGCCUAUGUUCUCUUAAGUGUUCAGAUCUGACCUUUUACCUAUAUAUCAAAUGUUCAGUUGGCACAUAUUUCACUUCUAGAAAUUAUAUAUGGUCCCUUUAAAAACAUUUCUGGUGUUUUUAAAUGAAUUUAAUAAUUUUCUUGUAACAUUUUGUUUUACAUGUGUUGUAGAUAUACGAUCAUGUCGGGGUGUGUAUGGGUGGCUAGACAUGUAUGUAAUCUGAGCAUGUGCUUGUGGAGGCCAGCAGUCCAUGUCAGGUGUCCUUUUUGACUGAUCUCCACCGUAGUUUUUUAGUCAGGGUAUCUCAGUGAAUCUGGUGCUCUUUCUUUCAGCUAGGCUGGCCGGUCAAUGAGUUCCCACGAUCCACUUACCUUGGCCUUCCUUGACCCAGCACUGGCGUUACUUAUGUGAGUGACCUCACCCAACUUUUAUGUGGCUUCUUGGGAUCCAAACUCAAGGCCUCAUGCUGUGGUGGGCACUUUACCGGCUCAACCCCCUUUUCCCAUAAUUUUAAUCCCCCCCUUUACAAUUCUAAUUAUUUUGAUCACAAUUCACAACCUCUUUCCGAUAGCUGGAUGAUCACAUGAUGUAUUUGAUGGUUCUGGGGAUUCCUUUCAGUCCUGCUGCUCUCUUUGAUGACUUAGGGGAUGGGAUAGGCUUUGUGGGAGCUGGGUGACUGCUCUACCACUGAACUACACCCUGGUGCUUGCUGACUUGUUUAUCGUGGAGUCGUGUUUUGUAGAUUUGGGUUAAGAGCUAAUAUUUCAGAAAUGGCUCACCUUGGGAAUCUUGUGUGCAGAGGUUGAGAACUGGUUUCUACGGCGAGUUUUUUCAUUUGCUACCAACUGCCUUGUGGCGUUACCAGAUUGAGACUCUUCGUUAACUGGCUUGGGGUUUCUAAACUGUACAAAUGAGUAAAUUUAAGCUUCAAACCCUUUCACUUCAGCACUUCCCAUCCAAUCCCCAAAGCCAAAGGGCAGAUAUUUCCUCUGGUACUCACCGUGAUCUGUGCUCACUACCUGCAAGGACACCCUUCAUGCCAACUGCGCCUUCAGGGUACAUUUAUUAUCCUGAUGCUAGAGCUGGUUCUUUUACAGCCAGAGGUUUCUAUUUCCCCCACAGCAGGUCCGCAGAUGACAAUUCUCCUGAAUGUCUGAUCCCGCUGCGAUGGGGUAUUUUGAGAUCUGCCUAGCUGCUGCAGACUUCUUAGGGAGUCAACCAGAGGCCCUGUUUAAGCUCGUGGCACAUCUGCUGGUCUGAUCAGGAAAUGUCACCUCUCUUUGUGUGCAGCUUUCGUAGAGAUGAAACUUGGCUUCUCUUCUGCAAAGGAAACAGCCCGCGCACCCUUGCUAAAAAUGGCGGGGCGCAGUGGCCGUACUAAUUCAGCACAAAAUGCGAGACGUUACAAAAACAAACACUUCGGGUUUUGUGGACACGGAGGGUGUUGCUCAUCGGUGACAAGAAAGCAGAAGGAGGGGACAUUUCGGUUCCCUGUACUUUGCCCUGCCUCUGCCUCCAGCUAUGCCCGCAGCCCACUCUGCUGUUCCUCUCUGUGCUCUUGAGUUUCCCGCCCUUCAAUGUGUGCUUUACCAGGAAAGGAGAACACCUUCACCCGAAGGACAGUGGGGAAGUGGGGAGGUCGGGCUGCAGAGGGCUGCACAGCUGAGUCGGCAGGGAAGGCAGCUGGCGGCCACUUCCUGCCUCACCCUGCAGGAAGGAGGUACCCAGGAAAAGGACGUUAGCAUUGUAACCACUGUCGAUAGUUCCUGUUCCCCUCCAGGGACUGCAAGACCUCCUGGUGUGGACUCCUUCUUUAUUCCAGAGAGGUGACAUCUAAGCACAUAGACACGAUUGAAGAGGAUCAUCUGCAAUGCGUUGUUCAUCCCCUUAUCUUGGGGGAGUGAUGUGGGGUGUUGUGUGUGUGUGUGUGUGUGUGUGUGUGUGUGUGUGUGUGUGUAUACACUAACUAAAGAGUGUGCAUGUAGAGGUCAGAGAUUCACAUCAUGUCUGAAUAUCUUUCUCUAUUGCUCUCUUCCUUAUUUUUUUAAGACAGCAUCUCUCUCUGAACUGGGACUUACCAAUUGGCGAAACUGGCUGACCAGCAUGCCCCAGCGAUCUGAUUCUGCCUCCCUGGUACUGGCAAGCAGUAGGCCAUUUUUGUAGUCCUGACCUUGCAUUCUGACAGAUUCCCUCCUUGGCUUGGUCAGGAAAACCUGAUUGACUCUCCUAAGAUUUCAUCUUGGCAAUAGUACAACCCUUCUGGAAGGGUCUUGAAAGGCUCGGCCACAGUACUGUGAUGUCCAUCAGUUGUGUGGUCACGAGAGUAAAUGCUGUUCUUGAGGGUCCUCCCCUGCUUCUGUGGUGUGUGUCAGGGAGAUGAAAUAGGAGACUCAUGGGUGGGAUUAACUAUGGGGCUGUGUAAAGCGCUCUACAGAUCCUGACAGUACCCUGCUCUUCCCGCCGUCCUGUGCUUCAAGAAGCCCAGGCUCCAAAGAUCCCCUUCAGAUACGUGCACUGACCUGGGCUGGCAAAAACCUUUCUUUGGGGCUCCGCAGUUCCUCACCCCUAAAGGGCAAUACAUUGCCAGUAGCUUUUCAGUCUCCUGCUGGAUUUGACAUCUGCCCUGGGCUGGGAGCUGAAUGUCUUGACUUAAUCUACUGGGAUCAAGGAAAGUCCUGAAGUCAGAAGGAGUACUCUAACUGUAUUUCUGCACUCUAAAGUGCAGAUUCCAGCCUGUGUGGUUUAGCAAAUAAGUGUCUCACACUGAGUUGUGAACACAAAGCUCUGUGCUUUGGGUUCGCCCCGUCACACUGGAGUGUGAUCUGCACGGGUGCUGUGUGUUCAUCGUGACAUCCUCAGGAUCUGGUGGAGUCCAGGACCCAGGGCAAACGUCCGCAGUUGGCAGAGGAGUGAGCACGCCAGCAGCUUUGGAUGAAUGAAUGGAACAAAGUUAGUCUGGAAACCAAAAGCUGAUGCCACUAAUGAAGCUGCUCACUCCACUUAAUCAAGACAUGCCCCUCGGGAUUCCACGUCCAUCUCUUCCCCUAAGCCAAUUUAAUUCACUGUUUUGUCUCAAAAUAAUGUUUCUGAAAAAAACCUUUCUUCCGCAGGCCUCUGUGUGUCUCCUGUAGUCUUAUGAACGCAUCCACCAAGAAAUUGCAAUUGAAAGGAGGCAGAUCACAUGAUCUGCACCCCCCUCGAUUCUUGAGUUCACUGGUUCCCACCAACAGAUACUUCUCUACAAACUGUCAGAACUUGGUGAAGCCCUGCUGUCGGAGGCCUCUCUGUAACACUCUCUUGCGUAGGCAUUUGGUCGUGGACAACAUCAGCAAAGAUACCCCUCCAGGCUUACCACACGAGUGCAUGGUUUUCAUCCUCCAACGGCCCAUACUUGGCGCCAACCAGCCAGUUCCUCAUUUACCCUGGGGCUCGGGCUCACUUCUGUAUUUUAAUACUUGCCAGUCAUGCUGUCUUCACCAAAGCCAUCAGUGGGAGAUGACACAGUUCCCGCUGACCCUUUGGGGGCCUUGGGCAGAUGUGGCACGGACCACCAAUACCUCAGAGAUGAUGUUGGGGUGCUGCGACAAUCAGCAGACCAGGAUUCAACGGGAAAUCCAAAGGCUGAUGCUUGCUCAUCUAGGACGCUCGACAUCUCACUCCUGGUACCCUCCCGAGGAUUUCCAGGCGUAGCCGAACAAGUCUUUUAAUUCUCAGACUCUGCCCGAUCAGAUUAGACAACUGUACUUAUCUAUAGUUGUAACAAAGUUCUGGGCUCGUCCUCUUUGUCCCUGGCAAUCACGCUUCUGUUUUCUCCAUUUGAGUUUUGCUGUUCUGGGAGCCUCAAGUAUAAGAUGAUGGCAGUCCACUUCUUCCUGGCUCUCUAAGAGGACCCUUUCCUUGACAGAAGAGAUUUCCACACUGCAAAGUUUAGGAAGGUGCUGGGGGGUCUAAGGUCAGCAGGAUGAACAAACAGAUCCUGCAUCUGGUCCCAAGGAGUGUGUGUGUGUGUGUGUGUGUGUGUACAAUGUGCAUGUUUGUGGGUAUGUGUGUGUAUAUGUGUGCGCAUGUGUGAUGUAUGGUGUGUAUGUUUGUGUGUGCGUGUUUGUGUGUAUACAUGUGUGUGUACGUGUAUGUGUAUUGUGAUGUGUGUUAUGUAUGCUUGUGGAGAGCAGAGGUUAACACUGAGUCCUUGUGUUUGGGGUUAACCGAAAACACUCCCGUGUAUUUAUAUAGGCACUGGGGAUCUGAACUCUGGUCUUUGCGCUUCUUCUACAACAAGCUCCUCAUCUCCUGAGCCAGCCUCUCCGUACCACAGUGAAUAUUUCUACACCCCCCUGCUCCCACAGGGGAUUAAAGAUGAAUCACAGUACAUUGAGUUAGUUAAUCUUUUGUUGGAUCCAAUCUCUCCAUCUGACAGGGUCAUAGGUAUGAGACCCUGGGAACGGUGCAGGACAUCGAAGGUAUCUGAGGAGUGUGUGGAGAGGUCAGAGGCUCCCCUCGUGUAUGGCUGUCUUUCUCUACUGCUCUGGGUUGAUUUUAAGACAGCAUUGCUCACUAAACUGGGACUCACCAGUUUGAUGAAGGUGUGGGCCAUUUUUACAGUUCUGACCCCUGGCCACCCAUCUCCAGCUCCUUUCUCAUAGACACUCACCUUCUUGGGCCACACAGUUUCUCCUCGCAACCCCCAUUGGGAUGCAGGGACAGGGGGUAGGCAUCUCUGUGGGACAGAGCUUGGCGAACCUCAGCCACUGUGUCAGGCAAGCAGGAUGUCACCAGUAAGCCAAAAGUUCGUGGAAGUGGUUUGGGUAGGGUAUGGUUUGUGUUUUCUGGGUUAGUUGAGCCCAGGUUGAUCUGUUGCCCAGGUGGUGGAGGAGGACUUCUGGGGAAACCAAGGCACUCAGUACUCCCUGGCCCGCAGAUGCCUGGUGACAAAACUGGUCACUGCAGGCUAUGACAGACUGGACUGACUGGGGGCCCUCCUCACCUUCAGCUCGUACCCUGUGAAAAGCAGGGUGUCUGAGGAGAUAACACUGGGGACGGGUGCCAUCUGUGCCCAUGCUCUGCUUGUUCCUACCCUUGACUUUGCUCCAGGGUCCCACCCGGAGCUGAUAGCUGAAAGGAGCCAUAAGUAAACAACAGAUACAUGGUCUGGUUUGUAAACAUGAGUUUCCACAAUAGAAAUAUAAUACCCCCCUAUGUUCAGGGGUACUUUUUGGCCCUUAGAAUCUAAUAGACCUAAUAGCACAUUUUGCCUGUUGCAUCGUUUAGGGAAACAUUAGGUACAAGCCAUGCCAUCAGAGCCAUGGCAUGGUGUGCGUGCCUUGUCUAGAUAGGAGGAUGCUCAAGAAUCCAGGCUCCUUCUAUAUUGUGGCUCUGCAUUCCCUAUACCUUUAGAGACCUCUGCCUAGAGGUGGGGCCUGAUAGAGGUGGUCCGUAUUGCCAUCUUAUCUCAGACUGAUAGAGAGAUAGACCCUCAUGACAGGUUUGCACUAUAUAAAGGGCUAUGUGGGUGUGCCUGGACACUUAGCCUCGUUGCCAUGACAGUGUCAUGAGCCUCCAUAGCCUCAGCCUCUGCAUCCGUCCAGUGGAGGACAUGGAUGGAGUCUGCUGCUGGGGGUUCCUGGGAGCUCCAGUGCUGCUGCACGGAGGCCCUGGUGACCCACAGUCAAUGCUGUAGGUGUGACAUUCAAGGCUGUGACCAACGCCAGGGAGAGAGAGAGGGGGGCUCUCGCCAUCUGGAGCCAGGGGAGCCCAGACACAUCCCAUCCCAACUGCUUUCUGUGUCCACGCCUCGCUUCUGCCUAAAUAGGCCUCAUAAUGGCCAUUAUGCAAUACGCAUUCUGUGCUUUGAUUAUUAUGCUAAUGCAAGCCUAUUUCAUAGUGAUUACAGUGCGAUAUGUGUUAUCUAUUGUGAUUAUUAUGUAUAUGCAAAUGAAUAGCUCACUCAGACACGUGUCUCAUAGGCUCAGUCUUGCUGGGGCAGUGACCCAAGCUUUGCCCUCAUUGUUUGCCAUUGUUCAAAAUAUCUUUUGUUAUGAAAGUAAUAUAGGUCAUGGCAAAAAUGGCCAACACACAGACGGCAAUAAAGUGGGAUUUAGAGGCCACCUCCCUGCCCUCCAUCCUGCUCGGAUAAGUAACCAUUGUGAACAGUCUGGCUAAAUCUUUCCAGAAAUAUUCCAUGCUCAGACACAAGCUAUAUAAAUGCCUCUACUUUGCACAAAAGCAAAUCGCACUGAAAUGUUAUUUUGACUUCUUUUUCUUUUCCACUAUUUUGGUGUCUGGUCUAAUUCGGUAUUUUUAACAGCCACGCAGAAACCCACGAUGGGGACGGCUGCUCUCUCUCUCUCCCCCCAGAAGUGAGGACGUUUAAGGAUCAUUACCAAGGCCGAACGGAGUGUCUUUCUACAGUAGCUUUCCUCCUCGUGACCUCCACAAGAAGAGGCUGUCAAAAUCCCAAUGCAAGUGAUAUUGCAUUGAUGCCAGGACUUCUGAGGAUGCAGACACUUAUUGUCCACGUGUCCCUGGUGCUCUGGUCUCAUAUGCGGCAAGAAGCAGCCAUCAAAGCUUCUCCUUAGCGCUGAAGGAGCGUUCUGUCAGGAGACAUAGCUCCCAAGACGCCGCUGUGCCCAAGUCCAUGCCAGCUCCUUGUCUGCAAAGGCGAAUCUGCCAUGCUCCGAGCCAUAGGAGCCCUAGGGUUUCAGUCCUGAAGACAACUGUCCAACUUUUAACUAUUUGCGGGCCACCUUCCGAUAUCCUGUUUAGCAUCUCUGCCUACCACCUAAACAUCCAUCAGUAUGUUUGGAAGACCACAAGGAGAUGGCUCGUUGGGAAGAGUACCUGCUGACCAAGAAUGAAGACUCGAGCUCAAGCUUCUAGCAGCCGUGUAAAAAGCGAGGCAUGGUUGCACACUUGUCUAUAAGCCCAGGUCUAUCUGUGGCGUGAGACGAUGGGAGGAUCCCAGAGCUGGCUGGCUGCCGUCCUGGAUCUAGAUCAGCGAGAGACCCUGUCUCAAGAGAAUAAAGAGGAGAGUGACAGAACAGGACACGGACAGUCCCCUCCUUGGUGUGUGCACUAGCUCUCCCUCUCCCGCCUCUCUUCCUCUCACUGCUCUCGCCCUCCUCUCCCCCCACACGACAAAAUGAGAACGAUUUGCACACAUAAAACCAUCAUGUGUCUUAGAUCUGUCGUCACCCUGAAGAGCGUCUUGGAGUCAUAGGGGGGGGGCAGUUAGGCUUCAUUCUGACACUCUUGACAACACACGCGACCCUCUCCCAGAGCGGGUGUCCGUUGAUGGACCUCCUAAAGCCAGUACUUCUGUCCCACUUUGGGAAUGGCUGCCCUUGAACCUUCUGCUUCUCUCGGAGGACACACGCUCUGUGCGUGAUUUAAGAGGAGAUGCUGGCGACUUCCGGAACACGUCAGACUUGUGCAAGUGAACUCUGUCUCUGAGCUGAGGCUUCAUGAGCACAGGAUGCUAUUUUUGGCCACGAUGAUCCUCAUGGAAUGUUUUUCUCUUUUUCUGGAAGGAAAAUAAAAUGUCUCCACUCCCAAUUACCUCUGUGGAGAAGUCGUAAAGAGCAAGGAAGUGUCCGGGGACUCUCGCUCCUGCAGAUGUAGGGAUCCUUUUAUUGCCUAAUAUGCUCUGGGCCAGGCUCACACCGGUCCUAUUUUUAGACGUUUGGGUUGACUUGGUGAAUUUGGCCUCUUUUUCAACAGAUCGUAUUAACGAACUGCAGAUGGGCCGUAAUUGAUUCCUUUCUGUCACAGUUAUUUCUCAGGCAGGCCGAACGCACUCAAUGUCUCCUUGGUGCGUAGUUACCUAGUUUCUAAAAAUCCCUGCUAGGUCUGUGAACAGGUUUCCUUUUUGGCUUGGGCAGCAGAGGACAGAUUAUGUGAGAUGGAUCCAGAAGUACUUGGAUAUGCAUUUGGCGUCUUUGGCAGUCCUAGUGGAAAUUUGGGGAUCUUGGUGGCUUUGCAAUUACUUACAACGAGGAGAUGCUGACACCUAACACCUUGGUGGGCGGAGGCCGGGCUGUGUUACAGGAUCCCACUGGGCCACAUUUCCACGUGGGGUCAGCAGUCUCGUAAGCACUUCACCCACGUGUGUCCUCCUUCUUGGCUACACUGUCAAGCAUUGCUGUACAUCUUAGAGCCAGAAUGUAUUUUAAAAUUUUAUUUCUUGUGUAUGUGUGUAGAAGGAGGAGGUGUGCACGCACGCACACACAUACACCUGCACGCACGCA